UAAAUACUCCCUCCAUCCGAAAAUACUUGUCAUCAAAAUGGAUAAAAAAGAUGUAUCUAAAACUAAAAUACGUCUAGAUACAUUUCCUUUUAUCCAUUUUGAUGACAAGUAUUUCCGGACGGAGGGAAUAUUUG
rnacentral:pre_miRNA from 1 species